rnacentral:SRP_RNA from 1 species
GCCAGCGUGGUGGCCCGUGCCUGUAGUCCCAGCUACUCGGAGGCUGAGGUGGGAGGAUCGCUUGAACCCAGGAGUUCUGGGCUGUAGUAAGCUAUGCCAAUCGGGUGUCCACACUAAGUUCAGCAUCAAUAUGGUGACCUCCCAGGAGUGGGGGCCCACCAGUUUGCUUAAGGAGGGGUGAACCGGCCCAGGCUGGAAACGGAGCAGGUCAAAACUCCCGUUCUGAUCAGUAGUGGGAUCGUGCCUGUGAAUAGCCACUGCACUCCAGCCUGGGCAACAUAGCGAGACCCUGUCUCU